GCGAUCGCAUACUCUGGUUUCUCUUCAGAUCGUAUAAAUCUUUCGCCUUUUACUAAAGAUUUCCGUGGAGAGGAACAAUUCUGAGUCUUGAAACAAUUUUUUGAGGCCUUGCACUUAGCGAGGCUAUAUAUCGUUAAAAAGAAUAGAGUGGGUUUUUCUUUUUGCUUGUGGUUGUUUGCUGCUUAAGAUUAGAUCUGGGUUGUUAAAAUGAUGUUACUCACAGGGACCAUGUGCAAGACUUUCUUUUCUUAAUGUGUGGAAUGGAAUCACUGGGUCAGGGCAGGUAAGUGUAAUAAUUUGUUCCCCAAGUGAAGGUACCCGUUUACAUUUCUGCCAAUGGCAUUUGUGUAGUUCGCAUAGCUUCUCAUCUUUACUGGUCUUUGGUAUGCUGACUUUAAUUUUUGCCCAUCUAGUGGAACUAAUACCUGACAGUGAUUUUUUGGCUUUUUGGGUUCUUUUGUUUUGUGUUUUAUUUUGAGAGAGAGAGAGAGAGAGAGAGAGAGAGAGAGAGAGAGAGAGCGCGCGCCUGAGAGAGCAGGGGAGAGGGGCAGAGGGAGAGAGAGAAUCCCAAACAGGGUACAUGCUCAUUCAGAGUCCUAAGAUGGGGCUUGAUCUCAUGAUCCUGGGAUCAUGACCUGAGCUGAAAUCGCCAUUCGGUCGCUCACCCUACUGAGUCAGGUGCCCUUGACGGUGGUUUUAAUGUACAUUUCUCUAGGUACUGCUAAAGUUGAAUAUCUUUUCAAAGAAUUUUUUUUUUUUUUUUUUGCCAUCGUGGUUUAUCUUCAUUGAAAUGCCUAUACAUGCCUUUUGCCCAUUUUUCCUCCUUAGAUUGUGAAUCUUUGUCUUAUUUUGGAAGUUUUAACACCACCUUUAGACUGUAGAGUCUAAAUAGUAAUUCUUUGUUGGUUAACUUCUUUCAGGUAAUAGCUUCCCUUUCCACUCUUCUUUUGUGUCUUGGUGAACUGUUCUUAAUUUUAAUGUUGUCAGAUUGAUUUUUUUCUUCAUUCUGAUUUGUGCUUUUUAAAAGUUUUUUAAUAAUUUACUACCUCAGGCUAUUUAGGAAACUAUCUUUUCAAGUUAUGUCUUUCAUAUUUAAGUCCUUGAUUAAUCUGGAACUGAAUUUUUGUGCAUAGUGUGAAGUAUGGAUCAAUUUUUAUCCCUCACCCCCUCCCCACUGACAGUUGUUCUGCACUGUGUAUUGAUUGAUGUCUCCUUUCCCCACUAUAGAUCUUCUUUGACAACUCUGACAUACAUCAGCUCUCCUUAUAUGCCUGGGAAUGUUUCUGGGCUCUGUCUUUUUCCUAAACCAGUCGAUUGAGAAGUUAAACCACCCUUGCACCAAGGUCCUCAGAGCAGCCGUGGGAGAGAAGGAAAGAAAAACAGCCCUGGUCCUAUCCUACACUGCUGGCGGAGAUUGCUUGUCCUUGGAUCCCAGCCACCAUGCUGUGAGGAAGCCCAGGCCACAUGGAGAGGCCACAUGCGGAUGUUGGGGCCGACAGCCAGCAUCAGCCACCAGACAUGAGAGCCAGCGGGCCUUCAGAUAAUUCCAGCCCCAGGCUUCAAGCUGCCACUGCUGAUGUCCCCACAACUGUCCCUGAUGAGCCCUGCCCAAACUGCAAAGGAUCUACUUGAACAGAUGACAAACCCACCAUCUUCUCAGGCAGCCCUUGGAUGGCUGGUUGUGUUGAAGAAUUCCUGUGUUGCAAAGUUCCAUGUAAAGAAAGUUCCUGAGAGGCCUGCCCUUGGUGACUUAGCCUCUGGCCUCCUCUCUGGGGCCAGAGAAGGGCUGCGGGCAGGAGGAGGGUCCAGUGAUAACAACCAGGCCCGGAGAGCCAGCGAGCCUUGAGUAUAGCAGCACCUUCUCCAGGCCAUCCCUGCCCCUCCUGCCCAGGACCCACCUGCCCCUUUGACCGAACAGGAGGAAGAGGACACAGAAGAUGAUGCAGGUGACCCCGAUGUGGAUGCCAAUGACGAUGCCUGUAGUGGACGUUUGGUUGGUGGGUUCCUCCUUCCGGCAGUCACAUGGUGGGCUCAGGGCUAGGGGCAGGUGAUGGUUGGGAGUUGUGGCUCUCUUGGCCUGAAGUACCUGGGACACGUAGCCUCUGGGGCUCCUCCUCCCUCAGCCAUAGCUACCUCCGUGUCUACAUAGUCUUUGCCUAUAGGACCCCAGCCUACUUUUUCGGUUCUCUUUACUAGUUACUGAGUACUAACUUUGUGCCAGAUACUGGGAAUAACACUUUACAAGGACCAUUUCAUCCUCACCACAGCUUUAUAAAGUAGGUAUUAUUAUCUCUGUUUUAUAGAGAACAAAACUGGGGCUCCGAGAGGUUAAGUAACUUGCCUAAGGUCACACUCCAUUGAACUUCAAACUCCAAUCCAAGCCUAUGUUCUCAAGGGCCACAUGCACUGUUACACUCUCCUACCUUCCCUGUAUCCCUGUCCCCCUCCUCACUCAACACCUGGCCUCCCUCCCUGAGCACCAGUCUUUAGCCCCACAACCCCUCCCCAACGCCUACCUGUCCUCUCAGAUGCUCCUCUCAAAGAUACGAAGCGGACUGUGGCAUUGCCCUCCCCAUGCUGGUUGUAGGCCAGCAGCUUCACCUCGUACACCGUGGUGGGGUCUGAGGGAAAGGCAGUGCUGUGCUGAGUGACCUCAGCCCCCACAGGCAGCUCUGUCGCAGCAGGGAAACACAGGGAACCCCUGCGCCCCACCUCCUGGCACCAGGCACCGCACCCCUGCCCAGCUCCCCACACGUGGUCUGUGUCUGCCUCACCGAGUUGGCUGAGGUUGUAGGAGGAGACUGUUGCAGGCAGCAGGACGGGGCCGGUGAAGGAGGCCCUGCUUGCUGGACGGUAAAACAGCUUGAAGCCUCCCUCAUGCUGGGCCAGCCGGGGCCAGGGCUCCCACAGCAGCUGCAGGGAGGAGCCGCCCAGGACCCGCACGGACAACGGGGGUGGGGCAGGUGCUGCAGGCAGAGACCAAGAUGUGAGGGGGGUUACCACCUUCCACCGUGACCCAUACCCUCAAGAGCCUGGCAGCUCUCUGGCCUCUGCCCCCCAGGCCUCCACUUGCUCAAAGAUACCUUUACAAGAGUUGGAAAAGGACGCCCCUUUCUCCAAGUAGACCCAGCCCCCACUCAGCCUCACGGCCAGGCGCCCAGUGUAGUGCACAACCUGAACAAGCGUGUGUGGUGUUUUGCUCUAAUACCUGGACCUCACCUUCACCCAGGGUGCUGGCCAGCACGGGGGCAGAGGCUGAGCUGGCCCCCCUUGGGGUAUAGGCCUUGAUGUAGAAGCUGUAGGCAGUGGAGGGUUCAAGGUCGCUCACCAGGUGCUGAAAGGUGUUCUUGCUGACUGCCUCCUGGUACUCCAGCUCCGGAGGGUCUGGGGAGGUGAAGGGUAGGGAGGGGCAAUGUAAGGGGCAUGAGGCAGUCUUACCAGCACUGGUGAAAUGAGGGCAUCCAGUGUGCAGGGGGUACAGUGGAGGGAAGGUGUUUGGUCAGGACAUGCAGUAUUGAAAGGGAUGAAAAACAGCGAAUAAAAAGAAGGGGCUGCAGAGCCCUCACCCACCAGCAGCCUUCCUGAUGUGCAGGACAUAGCCGAUAAUCUCCUUGGUGUUGACCAGGGGCUCAUUCCAGGACACACGGACCUCAGUGGGUGACAGAGAGACUGCCUGCACAUUGAGGGGGGGGCCAGGCAGCCCCUCAGCCCAUAACACGGUCAGCCUGGCACUGGCCUGUGAGGAGCCAGCACUGUUCUCAGCCACACACUGGUAGAUGGCCUCAUCCUCAGGGCCGAUUCCAGAAAUUGUCAGGGUGCUGCAGGGGGAGGGAGAGCCUCAGAUCCCCUCUCCGUGGCAGAGUACCCCUAAAAGUUGGCCAGAUUACCCCACUGGAGACUUGUCUUGAGAUCUUGCCACAAGCCAGUGGCAGACCAGGACUCAAACCCAAGUCUGCAGACUUAAUUUAGUGCUCUUUCCUGGCACAAGGGCACAGCCUGCUCUGGCCAUUCAUCCAGGCCCCCUUUCCCACAUCCUCCCGCAUUCUCACCCCGGCACACACCACACACAUGCCUGUUGUUAUUCUUGAGUCUGACGUGGCCUCCUGGCCCCAGCACCUGUCCAUUCUUCAACCAUGUGACAUGAGGGGGCGGCUCACCCUGGGCUUGGCAGGUGAACAUGGCUGUGGUCCCAGCUGGCCUGGAGAUGGACUGGGGGUGCUGGACAAACUCAGCUGGGGCUGGGGACACAGAGGAGCACAAGGAGCCGUGAGGGGUAGGUGUAGGGAGACAAGACAGCUGUGAGUGAAGGGAUGGGGUGCCGAUGGGGACAGGGUAGCCUCAGGAAACACGUCCUUGGGGAGAAUCUUCCAGAUGGGGCCCACCCUUCACCCUGGCCCAGGCUCCGGGAGAUGAUGGCAGGCCCCACCUCACUAGCCCCAGAGAGGCAGACCCAGGAGAGGACUCCAUUUUAAUGACUAUUUAAAAGACUGACAUUUGUAUCCGAAAGCAAUCAAGCUGAGCUCCCUGUUCAGGAAAUUGUUAAAUAAAUAAAUGUGCUAAUAGGUUUGGCUGCA